rnacentral:sRNA from 1 species
GAUGGGCGUGGUGGCGCACACCUGUAAUCCCUGUGACUCCGGAGGCUGAGACAGGAGGAUCGCAAGUUCAAAGCCAGCCUCAGCAAAAGCAAGGUGCUAAGCAACUCAGUGAGACCCUGUCUCUC